UCUUGGUCAGGACGAACGCUGGCGGCGUGCCUAAUACAUGCAAGUCGAACGGUCUUUCUAUGGAAGCUUGCUUCCACUGAGAAGAUAGUGGCGAACGGGUGAGUAACACGUGGGUAACCUGCCCAUAAGAGGGGGGAGUAACAUCCGGAAACGGGUGCUAAUACCGCAUAGUUUUCUUGAUCGCAUGAUCGGGAAAGGAAAGACGGCCUUUGUGCUGUCGCUUAUGGAUGGACCCGCGGCGUAUUAGUUAGUUGGUGAGGUAACGGCUCACCAAGACGAUGAUACGUAGCCGACCUGAGAGGGUGAUCGGCCACAUUGGGACUGAGACACGGCCCAAACUCCUACGGGAGGCAGCAGUAGGGAAUCUUCCGCAAUAGACGAAAGUCUGACGGAGCAACGCCGCGUGAGUGAAGAAAGGUUUUCGGAUCGUAAAACUCUGUUGUCAGAGAAGAACAAGUUGGAGAGUAACUGCUCCAGCCUUGACGGUAUCUGACCAGAAAGCCACGGCUAACUACGUGCCAGCAGCGGC
rnacentral:rRNA from 1 species